CCUACGGGUGGCAGCAGCGAGGAAUAUUGGUCAAUGGACGAGAGUCUGAACCAGCCAAGUCGCGUGAAGGAUGACUGCCCUAUGGGUUGUAAACUUCUUUUGUAAAGGAAUAAAACGAGGCACGCGUCCCUUUUUGCAAGUACUUUAUGAAUAAGGAUCGGCUAACUCCGUGCCAGCAGCCGCGGUAAUACGGAGGAUCCGAGCGUUAUCCGGAUUUAUUUGGGUUAAAGGGUGCGUAGGUGGGUUGUUAAGUCAGUUGUGAAAGUUUGCGGCUCAACCGUAGAAUUGCAAUUGAUACUGGCCGUCUUGAGUACAGUUGAGGUAGGCGGAAUGCGUGGUGUAGCGGUGAAAUGCUUAGAGAUCACGAAGAACCCCGAUUGCGAAGGCAGCUUACUAAACUGCGACUGACAUUGAUGCUCGAAAGUGUGGGUAUCAAACAGGAUUAGAUACCCGAGUAGUC
rnacentral:rRNA from 1 species